GAUGAACGCUGGCGGCGUGCCUAAUACAUGCAAGUCGAGCGAACGGACGAGAAGCUUUCUUCUCUGAUGUUAGCGGCGGACGGGUGAGUAACACGUGGAUAACCUACCUAUAAGACUGGGAUAACUUCGGGAAACCGUAGCUAAUACCGGAUAAUAUUUUGAACCGCAUGGUUCAAAAGUUAAAGACGGUCUUGCUGUCACUUAUAGAUGGAUCCGCGCUGCAUUAGCUAGUUGGUAAGGUAACGGCUUACCAAGGCAACGAUGCAUAGCCGACCUGAGAGGGUGAUCGGACACACUGGAACUGAGACAGGGUCGAGACACCUAAGGGAGGCAGCAGUAGGGAAUCUUACGCAAUGGACGAAAGCCUGACGGAGCAAAGCCGCGUGAGUGAUGAAGGUCUACGGAUCGUAAAACGAUGUUAUAAGGGAAGAAGAUAUGUGUAAGUAACAGUGCAAAUCUUGACGGUACCUAAGCAAAAAGCCACGGCUAACUACGUG
rnacentral:rRNA from 1 species